rnacentral:rRNA from 1 species
CACGUAGGGGGCGAGCGUUGUCCGGAAUCAUUGGGCGUAAAGAGCUCGUAGGCGGCUCAGUAAGUCGGGUGUGAAACCCCCAGGCUCAACCUGGGGACGCCACCCGAUACUGCUGUGGCUAGAGUCCAGUAGGGGAGUGUGGAAUUCACGGUGUAGCAGUGAAAUGCGUAGAUAUCGUGAGGAACACCAGAGGCGAAGGCGGCUACCUGGACAAUUGCUGACACUCAGGCACGAAAGCGUGGGGAGCAAAAGGG